rnacentral:rRNA from 1 species
AGCAUUUAGUGGAUGCCUAGACAGAAGAAGUAAAAGGACGUUAAACGCAACGAAACGCCAUAGAAAGGUGCGUAAAUCCUGAGAUCUAUGGAUUUCCUAAAAGGAAACUUUAAAAUUUUCAUUACCUAGUGAACUGAAACAUCUCAUUAACUAGAGGAAAAAAAAUCAACCGAGACUCCGUAAGUAGUGGUGAGCGAAAACGGAUUAGGCCUUCAUUCUUCUCAAAAAAAAAACAUCUAAGCUGUUUGGAAAAAUGCGCCAAAGAAGGUGAAAGCCCUGUAGAUGUGUGAAUUUGAAAAUUAAAGAAUGAAAUAAAUGAGUAAAACGAACACCUUGUUUGUUUGAAUUGGAAAUUUCUUGUUUAAAAUGGAAACAUUAUUAGAUAAGAAACUUCUUAAAGGGGGACCACCCUCUAAGCCUAAGUAUAUUCUUCUGAUCGAUAGCGAACAAGUACCGUGAGGGAAAGGUGAAAAAGACUCCUAAAAAGGUAAGUGAAAGAGAUACUGAAACUGAAUGCUUACAAGCAGUCGAAGCUUUUUAAAAAAGUAACGGCGUACCUUUUGCAUAAUGGGUCAGCGAGUAAAUUUAUGAAGCAAGCCUAAGCUCUUAAGUGGAGGCGGAGUAAAAGCGAGCUUGAAAUGAGCUAAAAAAACAAAAAAANGUUUCAUAAAUUUGACCCGAAACCAAGCGAUCUAGUCAUGAGCAGGUUGAAAAAAUGAUAAUACGUUUUGGAGGACCGAACCCACAUCUGUGGCAAUAGAUGGGGAUGACUUGUGACUAUGGGGUGAAAAGCCAAUCGAGCUUGGAAAUAGCUGGUUUUCUGCGAAAUCUAUUGAGGUAGAGCGUAUAGCUUUUCUUGAAAGUAAAAAGGAGGUAGAGCACUCGCUGGGUGAUGGUGGCCCAAAGCCUUACUGAUCCCAUGGAAACUCCGAAUACCUUUUUACAAGCUAUACAGACAGACUAGAGGCGCUAAGGUCUCUAGUCAAGAGGGAAACAACCCAGAUCGAACGCUAAGGUUCUAAAGCGAUUUCUGAGUGGUAAAGGAAGUUAGUAAGCUAAGACAACCAGGAGGUAGGCUUGGAAGCAGCCAUCCUUUUAAGAAAGCGUAAUAGCUCACUGGUCUAUGUUUACUAGCACCUAAAAUGUAUCGGAGCUCAAGAUAUUCACCGAAGCGGCGAUUUUAGAUGGUCUCUUUAUCUUUUUUUGUAAAAAAAGAGGAGAAAAAAAACCAUUUAAAAGGUAGCAGAACGUUCUGUAAAUCGCAGAAGCUUUAUUGAAAAAUAAAGUUGAGAUAUCAGAAGUGAGAAUGCUGACAUGAGUAACGACAAAUCAUGUGAAAAUCAUGAUAGCCGAAAGUCCUAGGUUUUCUACAGACCGUAUUUCGAUGUAGAGUGAAUCGGCCCCUAAGACAAAAGCGAUAGCUUUUUGUUAAUGGGUACAAUGUGUUUCAAUCAUUGAUGUGAUAUCAAAUGACGGCUUUUUUUUNGUUUCACAAGAAAAUGGAUAUCUUGAAAAAAUAAAAAAANGCCCAGGAAAGAAUUUGAUUAGACUCUUUUUUCAUUGAAAAAAGAAAACACCGUACUUAAACCGACACUGGUGGACUUGUUGAAUAAACUCAGGCUAAGAGAGAAUCAUGUUGAAGGAACUCGGCAAAUUACCUCCGUAACUUCGGAAAAAGGAGGACAUGGGGCUUUUUUUUGUAAAGAUUUCAUCUUUUUAGAAAAAAACCCAUGUGGCACAAAAUAGGGGGUGGCGACUGUUUACUAAAAACACAGGACUCUGCUAAGUGGUAACACGAUGUAUAGGGUCUGACACCUGCCCGGUGCUGGAAACUUAACAGGAGGGGUGCUCAUUGAAAUCAACCAGAAUUCAAUGAAAGCUCUAAAUGCAAGGCCCAGUAAACGGCGGCCGUAACUCUGACGGUCCUAAGGUAGCGAAAUUCCUUGUCGGGUAAACGAGAACUUGCCCGAAUGUUUCGUAAGAAACAAUGUUCUCUUACAAAAUUGUUUAAUUUUGUAAGAGAAAACUAGUAAACCGACUCAUAACGGGGGAAGCCUAAGAUUUGAAAACAGCAAAUUAUGGUAAUCCCGUGGGAAGUUUGAUAAUCGUAUUUGAAAACACUUUUUAACUCUUCUUUUAUCAAACCCCGUAACGACUGACUCGAAAGAGGAGGCUUGAAACUUCGGUUCAGGCAACACGUCGGCCCUUAUCAGUUUUCUAACAUACUUAUGGUUAUGGUUUACCUUCUUGAUUUUCUAAAUCAAGAAGGUAAGACUUAAAAAAAAAAUCUAUGAAAAAAAUUUCUAGUGACUAUAUUGUGGUUUUUACCGAUGGAGAGGGAUGUUUUUCUCUGGAUAUCAGUAAACAUAAAAAACGUCCAUUUGGACUUUGUUUGACACCUAGUUGGAGUGUGUCUCAAAAUUCGACUUCAGUGACUGUCUUAAAAGACAUCAAAUCUUUUUUCGGGUGUGGUUUUAUUCGACCUGAUCGAAAAACAAGUAAAUAUGAAGUCCGUGAUUUAGAGAGUUUACAACACAAAAUCAUUCCUUUUUUCUUCUUUUUUUUGUGAAAAAAAAAAGAUAAGAAUCCUUUAAGAACUCAAAAAAAUCAAGAUUUUGUCUUGUUUUGUGAAAUUUGCGAUGGAUUACAAAAAGGAGACCACUUGAAUCAAACAGGUCUGUUGAGAUUAGUAGAUUUAGCGUAUUCAAUGAAUCAGAGUGGUGUGUAUCGUCGUAAAUCGAAACACCAAUUAGUGUCUGAAAUUGAAGACUGGAAAAACAAUAACCUACGAGUUUGUGAUAAGGUGAAGGUAUAGUCUGAUCUUUAUGGAAACAUAAAGCUAACACAAUUAACAGUAUGAAGUUCCGACCUGCAUGAAUGGUGUCACGACUUCCCCGCUGUCUCCAACAUGAUCUCAGUGAAAUUGAAUUCUCCGUGAAGAUGCGGAGUUCCCGAAAGUAGACGGUAAGACCCUAUGCACCUUUACUAUAGUUUACCAUUGAAAAAAGAGUCUGAAUGUAGAGAAUAGGUGGGAGUUUCUUUUUCUUUGAUUCAUCAGAGAUCUAAGAAACAACAGUGAAAUACCACCCUUUCUUUCUCAUUUUUCUAACCUUAAAAACUAAAUGUCUAUUUAAUUUUCUCAAUCAAGAGAUUUAUCUAGAUCAAGGGACAAUGGUAAAUGGGUAGUUUGACUGGGGCGGUCGCUUCCUAAAGAGUAACGGAAGUGUGCGAAGGUAAGCUCAAGCUGGACGGAAAUCAGCUGUAGAGCGUAAUGGUAAAAGCUUGCCUGACUGUAAGACUUACAAGUCGAACAGAGACGAAAGUCGGCCAUAGUGACCCGGGAGUUCUUGGUGGAAAGGCUCUCGAUCAACGGAUCAAAGGUACGCUAGGGAUAACAGGCUGAUGACUCCCAAGAGCUCUUAUCGACGGAGUCGUUUGGCACCUCGAUGUCGACUCAUCGCAUCCUCGAGCUGAAGAAGGUUCGAAGGGUUCGGCUGUUCGCCGAUGAAAGCGGUACGUGAGUUGGGUUUAGUACGUCGUGAGACAGUACGGAUCCUAUCUUUUUCGGGUGGUAAAAAAUUGAGGGUGGCAUUCUCUUGUACGAGAGGACCGAGAAUGACGAACCUCUAGUGUAUCAGUUGUCCUGCCAAGGGCAUCGCUGAGUAGCUACGUUCGGAAUGCAGAACUGCUGAAAGCAUCUCAAGCAGGAAAGCAAACCCAAAACAAGUUUUUGAGUUCGUCGAAGACUACGACGUAAUAGGCGAGAUGUGAAAACAUAGUGAUAUGAUAGCUAACUCGUACUAACUCACCUUAUCUCCAGAAA